rnacentral:tRNA from 1 species
UUCAAAAUAGUUUAAAAUUUAAAAUUUUAAUUUUGGAGAUUAAAGAUAAUUUAUAUUUUUUGAAA